rnacentral:rRNA from 1 species
AACGAACGCUGGCGGCAUGCCUAACACAUGCAAGUCGAACGAGAUCUUCGGGUCUAGUGGCGCACGGGUGCGUAACGCGUGGGAAUCUGCCCUUUGGUUCGGAAUAACAGUUGGAAACGACUGCUAAUACCGGAUGAUGACGAAAGGCCAAAGAUUUAUCGCCAGAGGAUGAGCCCGCGUAGGAGUAGCUAGUUGGUGUGGUAAAGGCGCACCAAGGCGACGAUCCUUAGCUGGUCGGAGAGGAUGAUCAGCCACACUGGGACUGAGACACGGCCCAGACUCCUACGGGCGGCAGCAGUGGGGAAUAUUGGACAAUGGGCGAAAGCCUGAUCCAGCAAUGCCGCGUGAGUGAUUAAGGCCUUAGGGUUGUAAUGCUCUUUUACCCGGGAUGAUAAUGACAGUACCGGGAGAAUAAGCUCCGGCUAACUCCGUGCCAGCAGCCGCCGCGG